rnacentral:rRNA from 1 species
AACGAACGCUGGCGGCAGGCCUAACACAUGCAAGUCGAGCGAGGACUUCGGUCCUAGCGGCGGUUGGGUGAGUAACGCGUGGGAACGUGCACUUUGCUUCGGAAUAGCACUGGGAAACUGGGAGUAAUACCGGAAGAGUCACUUGGGGGAAAGAUAUGACGGCCAAGUAUCGGCCCGCGUUGGUUUAGGUAGGUGGUGGGGUAAUGGCCUACCAAGCCGACGAUCGAUAGCUGGUUUGAGAGGAUGAUCCGCCACACUGAGACUAGGACACGGCCGAGACUCUUACGCGAGGCAGCAGAGGGUAAUCUUAGACAAUGGCGGAAAUCCUGAUCUAGCCAUGCCUCGUGAGCCAUUAAGUCCUGAGAGUUGUAAAGCUCUUUCAGCUCGCAAGAUAAUGACGGUACCAGCAGAAUAAGCCCCGGCUAACUCCGUG